AACCCCGGUCUUUGGUGGCAUCCUGGCCCUCAUUAAUGAUAACAGGUUCCAAAGAGGACUUCCAGCUCUUGGCUUCAUAAACCCACUGAUUUACAAGAUACAGGAGAAUGGCACAUCUAGAGCAUUCUUUGAUGUAACUACUGGAUGCCAUUACGGUUGUUUGGAUGAAAAAACGAAGGGAAAAGGAUUCUGUGCUGCUCCGUCUUGGGAUCCUGUAACAGGAUGGGGGACACCAAACUAUCCAGAGCUACUCAGAGUACUACUUGUAGGGAGAAACGAUCAUCCAUGAUCUGAAGACCAAGAUAAGGAGUGCAAUCUAACUGAAAACCAAGCACUGAAUUUCCUGCCGCACCUUUGUAAUUUUGCCUUUUGUGACUAUAUGAACACUUAGCUCAUUAAUGCUUUAGUUUGUCCCAUUUUUUAGUUGGUGAAAAUGUUUGUGUAGCAUCUCAAUUAGUCAAUUGUGUUAUAGGCACACUGAUAAUCAAAGAUAUUGCUGCUUAGCAUUUAUACUGAUACUACCUGUCUCAAAUAACCAGAAUUUUACAGCGGGGAAUCAGGUCCUUUGGCCCAUCAAGUCCGUGGCAACCAGCUCCACUAAUCCCAUUUUGUUUCUUGCAUCUUCAUCAAUUCUACUCCCACCGCACACUAGGGGCUGCAGAUAGUAAACAAUUAACCCACACACCAGCAUUUUUUUGUUAUGUGGGAGGAAACCAGAGCACCUACACAAUCCCAGGGAGGAUGUUCAAACUACACAAGGAUAGCACCAGAGAUCAGGAUUGAACUUGGGUUUCUGGAGCUGUGAGCAACAAUGCUAACCACUGUAGCCAUUUGCUGCCAGAUGAUUACUUAACUAACUGAACGUGUUAAUGUAAUGUUGCAAUAAUGGAUAAGAAUUAAUUGGUUUAAUGUUAAUCAGAGGUAAAUAUUGGUGCGUUAACAAAUAUUUAAAAUCCAGAAUACUGAAUCCAAGAUGUACAAUGGAGUUUGAUUAAAUUUUUAACUAAUGGGACUGUCUAGCAAAUGUUUAAUUGCCCAGAGAUUGUAAUUGCAAUCAUGUUUUGAUAAUUUGAUGUUUGAAAGUAAGCAUUUGAAUUUGCUGAGGAAAUAUUGCUGAAAGAUUUUAUUUACAUAAUUUUUACUUUAAACUGUACACAAAGUGCAUAUGAAGAUUCUUAGUAGGCAAAUAGUAAAAAUACUUAUGCUG